rnacentral:rRNA from 1 species
GCUCUGGGUCAACCUCCCACCCGUGUUUAUCGUACCUUGUUGCUUCGGCGGGCCCGCCUCACGGCCGCCGGGGGGCAUCCGCCCCCGGGCCCGCGCCCGCCGAAGACACACAAACGAACUCUUGUCUGAAGAUUGCAGUCUGAGUACUUGACUAAAUCAGUUAAAACUUUCAACAACGGAUCUCUUGGUUCCGGCAUCGAUGAAGAACGCAGCGAAAUGCGAUAAGUAAUGUGAAUUGCAGAAUUCAGUGAAUCAUCGAGUCUUUGAACGCACAUUGCGCCCCCUGGUAUUCCGGGGGGCAUGCCUGUCCGAGCGUCAUUGCUGCCCUCAAGCACGGCUUGUGUGUUGGGCUCUCGCCCCCCGCUUCCGGGGGGCGGGCCCGAAAGGCAGCGGCGGCACCGCGUCCGGUCCUCGAGCGUAUGGGGCUUCGUCACCCGCUCUGUAGGCCCGGCCGGCGCCCGCCGGCGAACACCAUCAAUCUUAACCAGGUUGACCUCGGAUCAGGUAGGGAUACCCGCUGAACUUAAGCAUAUCAAUAAGCGGAGGAA